rnacentral:rRNA from 1 species
CUUGAAACACGGACCAAGGAGUCUAGCAUGUGCGCGAGUCAUUGGGAAUAAUUAAACCUAAAGGCGCAAUGAAAGUAAAGGUCAGCCCAGCGCUGACCGAGGGAAGAUGGGCGGUCACGGUUUCCGUGCCGCUCCGCACUCCCGGGGCGUCUCAUUCUCAUUGCGAGAAGAGGCGCACCAAGAGCGUACACGCUGGGACCCGAAAGAUGGUGAACUAUGCCUGGUCAGGACGAAGUCAGGGGAAACCCUGAUGGAGGUCCGUAGCGAUUCUGACGUGCAAAUCGAUCGUCGGAACUGGGUAUAGGGGCGAAAGACUAAUCGAACCAUCUAGUAGCUGGUUCCCUCCGAAGUUUCCCUCAGGAUAGCUGGCGCUCGUCGCCUACGAGUCUCAUCCGGUAAAGCGAAUGAUUAGAGGCAUUGGGGUCGAAACGGCCUCAACCUAUUCUCAAACUUUAAAUGGGUGAGAUCUCCGGCUUGCUCGAACUUAUGAAGCCGCGAGACACGGAUCAGAGUGCCAAGUGGGCCAUUUUUGGUAAGCAGAACUGGCGCUGUGGGAUGAACCAAACGCCGAGUUAAAGCGCCUAAAUCGACGCUUAUGGGAUACCAUGAAAGGCGUUGGUAACUUAAGACAGCAGGACGGUGGCCAUGGAAGUCGGAAUCCGCUAA